GAUUGAACGCUGGCGGCAGGCCUAACACAUGCAAGUCGAACGGUAACAGGAAGCAGCUUGCUGCUUCGCUGACGAGUGGCGGACGGGUGAGUAAUGUCUGGGAAACUGCCUGAUGGAGGGGGAUAACUACUGGAAACGGUGGCUAAUACCGCAUAACGUCGCAAGACCAAAGAGGGGGACCUUCGGGCCUCUUGCCAUCAGAUGUGCCCAGAUGGGAUUAGCUUGUUGGUGAGGUAACGGCUCACCAAGGCGACGAUCCCUAGCUGGUCUGAGAGGAUGACCAGCCACACUGGAACUGAGACACGGUCCAGACUCCUACGGGAGGCAGCAGUGGGGAAUAUUGCACAAUGGGCGCAAGCCUGAUGCAGCCAUGCCGCGUGUAUGAAGAAGGCCUUCGGGUUGUAAAGUACUUUCAGCGGGGAGGAAGGUGUUGUGGUUAAUAACCGCAGCAAUUGACGUUACCCGCAGAAGAAGCACCGGCUAACUCC
rnacentral:rRNA from 5 species